GCGCUAGGCUCGGGCCAUCGGCUGGCGGGGCAGCGGCGGCCGCGCGAGCUCGCGCUCCGCCAGCGCCGCGCCGGCCUUGGGGCCGCCCGCGGGGCCUCCUGCGGUGGGGAGAGGCCGCCGGGUCCUCGGCGCCCCGCAGCGGUGGCGGGGAGCCCCGCCACCGCGGUUAAGACGUCUUUCCGUGCUUAGCUUCCCCCCGCCUUCUCUCUCCGGAUUCUUCGGCAAACGCCGCCUCUCCCUUCCCGUCCCGCGCGGGCCCCACGCGGAGCGGGGCGGAAGCCGCUUCCGGGCCCUUCGCGGGUGUGCGGGCGGCGCGGCCCUUCCGGCCCGGCUGGCAGCGAACCGAGCGUGGGUCGGGGCACGUCCCCGGCGGCUGCCAAGAGCCCCGCUUUGUCUCCGGGGACCGCUGGGCCCCGCGUUCCCUCCUUCUUUCCCCGCCAGCCUCGCCUAGCUUCCAGGUGCUCCAGGAAGUGGCCGGAGCGGAGACUUGCGGCCUCAAAUGCCUCAGACGGGAGCCUGCCUUCUCCUGGUGAAGAAACUGAAGCCCAGAAAGGUGCUAGCAGCAAUAGUGGAGUCUUGUGUCUUCCGCUGACAUCCAUGAAAUUGUGGCAUGCUGGCUUGUUUGUUUGCAAGUAGGCCCCCAAACUCCAUGAUUCUUUGUUGUUCAGUGACCAAGAGAAGACGUAUUUGAAAAAUAACAUGAAUAAACAUGAUGAAUAAAACGCAAAUGUAUUUAUGGAGAGCUGGAAGAGCCUUGGAUGACCGGCAAGUAGAUCAGAACAAAGUGUUGUUAAUGCUUCCCCCAGAUACUUUAAGAAGCGUGCAGAAGAUCAAUUGAUCUGCAGAACACGAAUCCCUCUUGCAAGUGUGAGCAUCCUGGAUUUUAUUUAUUUAAGAUUGAUACAACUGAGUUAUAUUUUUGAGAAUCUAAUGGAAGAGAAUCACAUCAUCUCUCAGGAAAGCAAUUCUGGCGGCUGCCCUGGCCAAGCUCUAGCCUGUUAAUCCUUUUGACCAGUGAAGUAGUUGGUAUAUUCUUGUAAACUUUCUGGAGGCAGCUUGUCCAUUAUUAGGACUGAACUUGAAAUAGUUGGAACAACAGCUCCUCUUGCAUCAAAAUAAUACAAGUGAGUCUCAUUUUAAUAAAACCCCAGAGCACAGUAUCACCUAGCAAGUAACAGGUACUCAAUAAAUGCUCUUUGAAUAAAUGGAUGAAAAUUUAAAUUUGUGAAAUGGAUCAAUAAAUAUGUGAUCAUUUACACUUCCGAAAGAUGUAUCUGCUCAUUUGCUUCUGAGUGCUGACUUUAAAUAUGGAUCUUAAAGCUAGUAUUAAGGGAUAAGAAGGUGAGAUUUUUCUUUUGAAGUUACUUAGUCCUUUUUCCCGUCUACAGGGACAUAGCAACUACCCCAGCGGCUUAUCACUUUACCUAUCGUCUGUGUGAUGAAAGAGAGGGUUUCUAGUUCCUUCAUUUUCAUAAGUACCAACAUCUAAUUUUUUAAAAAAUAAAAACCUGCUGGACCACCACGGUUUACAGAUUUAAAACGUGCUGUAAUGUAUCAUGACUUAGCAUACAUAGCUUUCCCGCCACCAUCUGUAUCCUGAUUUGUAGUCUAAUAAACCUUCCUGCCGCAGAUGGCAUGCGCAUAGUUGUUCCAAGGUGUAAUACAUCAACACAGCAUUUCUAAACACAGAGCAAUAAUGUAUUCAAUUAAGGGAGGAAAUAAAACAUCGAGCCGUUUCUUAUAAUAAAUCUUUUACUAAGCUUCCCACAUCACAUGUUUGCUGAGGAAAUAAUACAUGUCAUUCAGACUAAGGGUUAUUGUAGACUGCUGAGGGAAACAUGAAAUUCUGGAGGUUUCAGCAGUCCUGUGAAACCCUGAAACAUGGAAAGUGUACAAAUUAGAAAAGGAUGUAAUAUGUGACUAAUGAUACCUCUUGGGAUACCUCUGGAACCCAUAUUUACUGUUAUGAUCACUAGAUUCAUUUAAGCUACAGGAGUUGAAAAGCAAUACCCUGGUAAGUGAAAAACACCUCUGAGUUCAUUAGAUGUGGUUGUAAUUUAAGCUCUAAAGGCUUUUUUCCUUGCUGUCAUUCUUCAUAUUUCUGGAAAUGUGGUACUUGAGCUCCUAAUAAAAGUGGUCUACAUCAUGACCAUAUAAUCUACUGUUCCUGGAAAGCACAUUUACACCUCCACAUCUGUAGCCAAAGCCAAGACUGAACAGAAACUUAAUUUACCCCAGAUGUCACUCAACAGAAAGUUCUGGAGAAGGCUGCUGCUCUUAAACUUUUCUAGCCCCUGAAUAUGCCCCAAGCACUGGUAUGAACAUGCAGCCCAGGCCCUCCAGGCCCAAAUGUUGGAACAAAAUUGACUGAAAGCCACCAAGCAAAUCUCCAAAACCCACCUUCUAUGUGUGGAGGGAAACAAUAGCUGUUCCGACCUUAUUUACACAGAUGAUACCAGGUCUUUCUGUCUUAAGUAUCUGAUCAAGAAAUUGUGCUCUUCUGACUUGGUAAGGCAUCCUGCCAUAGUGCUUUAAGGAAGCUUAGGUGGCAAUCUCUUUGAAAAAAAUUAUAUGUACAUGUGUAUGAUUUGGGCUGCUAAUCACCAGAAUAGUGUUUGAUGGGUCAAUACUAUCAGGCAAUCCAUUUCCAGCUAGUGAUCUAAUAAUACUCUUCCUUCCUUAGCUUUGCAAUUCCCUGACCAGCAUCUCUUUUCCUUGGUGAUGGAUGAGUUGGUCCAAAAUCAGUUCUCUCCCGUUCCCAGGUGAUAUGCCUGACUGGCACAGCUUUCUGGCUGAGAAAAGAUCAACACAUGAACCAUACAGUUCCCCACAACGUGCAGAAAUCACGGCAGACAAGACUUCAGUCCCACUCUGACCUAUUUGUAGUUUUCAGUUCUACCUCUUAAACUCACGUAUCUGUUGCUUGCUUAGAGUUACCUUCUUUCCACGGAGGCCCACCAGGUACGUGGGUCGGUGAAUCUGGACAGUUUCCCAGAGGCCCUGCCGAGGCUGCAGUUUCUAGGUGUAGUUCAGGGGAGGCCACUACGGACACAUUGUGCCUUAUGAAUACUGGAGCUUUCUCUAGAGGAAAAUCACCCUCUGCUAUGUCAGGUCAGAUACAGAAGCCAGAUUACCUAGGCUCAGUUGGUGUAACCGCUCAUAAAAAUUACUAUUUAAUAAGGAUAUCCUCAGGAUUUAUUAAGGGAACAAUGUGGAAAUGGCCACGUGAAAAAUAGGUUUACACCUUUGUAAAACUGCUGUUAAAGACAUUGCUCAUUGAAUGUUUAAUUAUUAAUCAAAGAUCCAUCUACCUGACAACUUCCUCUUAAAAUGUGUCUCCUGAAAACCUGGUGUGUAUUCCUCUAUUAAACACUGAGAUCUACACAA